CCUACGGGAGGCAGCAGUGGGGAAUAUUGGGCAAUGGGCGAAAGCCUGACCCAGCGACGCCGCGUGGGGGAUGAAGGCCUUCGGGUCAUAAACCCCUGUCAGGAGGGACGAAGCCCUGAUCAUAUAUCAGGGUGACGGUACCUCCAGAGGAAGCCCCGGCUAACUACGUGCCAGCAGCCGCGGUAAAACGUAGGGGGCAAGCGUUGUCCGGAUUCACUGGGCGUAAAGGGUCCGUAGGCGGCCUGCUAAGUCGGACGUGAAAGACCCUGGCUUAACUGGGAAAUUGCGUCCGAAACUGGUGGGCUAGAGCCCAGGAGAGGAAAGUGGAAUUCCCGGUGUAGCGGUGAAAUGCGCAGAUAUCGGGAGGAGCACCAGUGGGGAAGCCGGCUUUCUGGCCUGUGGCUGACGCUGAGGGACGAAAGCCGGGGGAGCGAACCGGAUUAGAUCCCCCGGUAGU
rnacentral:rRNA from 1 species